UACGAAGGGGGCUAGCGUUGCUCGGAAUCACUGGGCGUAAAGCGCACGUAGGCGGAUCUUUAAGUCAGGGGUGAAAUCCCAAGGCUCAACCUUGGAACUGCCUUUGAUACUGGGGAUCUCGAGUCCGGAAGAGGUUGGUGGAACUCCGAGUGUAGCAGUGAAAUGCGUAGAGAUGCGGAGGAACACCGAUGGCGAAGGCAGCCCCUGGGCCAACACUGACGCUCAGGCACGAAAGCGUGGGGAGCAACAG
rnacentral:rRNA from 1 species